GGUAGCGCUUGCAGCAUGGCUGAAGAGCAUUGACUGAAGAGCAGAUUGCAGAAUUCAAAGAAGCUUUUUCACUAUUUGACAAGGAUGGUGAUGGAACUAUAACAACAAAGGAAUUGGGAACUGUAAUGAGGUCUCUUGGACAGAAUCCCACAGAAGCAGAGUUACAGGACAUGAUUAAUGAAGUAGAUGCUGAUGGUAAUGGCACAAUUGACUUCCCUGAAUUUCUGACAAUGAUGGCAAGAAAAAUGAAAGACACAGUGAAGAAGAAAUUAGAGAAGCAUUCCGUGUGUUUGAUAAGAAUGGCAAUGGCUAUAUCAGCGCAGCAGAGCUUCGCCAUGUGAUGACAAACCUCGGAGAGAAGUUAACAGAUGAAGAGGCUGACGAAAUGAUCAGGGAAGCAGAUAUUGAUGGCGAUGGUCAAGUAAACUAUGAAGAGUUUGUGCAAAUGAUGACAGCAAAGUGAAGACAUUGUACAGAAAGUGUUAAAUUUCUUGUACAAAAUUGUUUAUUUGCCUUUUCUUUGUUUGUAACUUAUCUGUAAAAGGUUUCUCACUACUGUCAAAAAAAUAUGCAUGUAUAGUAAUUAGGACUUCAUUCCUCCAAGUUUUCUUCCCUAUCCUUAUCUUACUGUCAUUGUCCUGAAACCUUAUUUUAGAAAAUUGAUCAAGUGGGCGGCGCCUGUGGCUCAGUCGGUAGGGCGCCGGCCCCACAUACAGAGGGUGGCGGGUUCAAACCCGGCCAAAAAAUAGCCGGGCGUUGUGGCGGGCGCCUGUAGUCCCAGCUACUCAGGAGGCUGAGGCAGGAGAAUCGCUUAAGCCCAGGAGCUGGAGGUUGCUGUGAGCUGUGUGAGGCCACGGCACUCUACCGAGGGCCAUAAAGUGAGAUUCUGUCUCUACAAAAAAAAAAAAAAAAAGAAAAUUGAUCAAGUAACAUGUUGCAUGUGGCUUACACUGGAUAUGUCUAAGCCCUUCUGCACAUCUAAACUUAGAUGGAGUUGGUCAAAUGAGGGAACAUCCGGGUUAUGCCUUUUUUUAAAGUAGUUUUUUUUAGGACCUGUCAGCAUGUUGUUGUUGAAGUGUGGAGUUGUAACUCUGCGUGGACUAUGGACAGUCAACAAUAUGUACUUAAAAGUUUGCACUAUCGCGGCCGGGCGUGGUGGCUCACGCCUGUAGUCCCAGCCCUGUGGGAGGCCGAGGCGGGUGGAUUGCCUGAGCUCAGAGGUUCGAGACCUGUAUGUAACAGCAUGUGAGCCAGAGUAAGACCCCGUCUCUACUAACAUCAAGAACACUGCCAGAGGAAGAUAAAAAACAGUAUUUCAAACGAAGAAGAAUGAACAAGGAAAUUGAAAUUAAAAAUAAAAAAAAAAAAGUUUGCACUAUCGCAAAAUGGGUGUAUUACCCAAGUACUCGUACACUAUUUUUUUUUGUACUGCUAGUCCUGUACCAGAAACAUUUUCUUUUAUUGUUACUUGCUUUUAAACUUUGUUUAGCCACUUAAAAUCUGCUUGUGGCACAAUUUGCCUCAAAGCCAUUCCAAGUUGUAUAUUUGUUUUCCAAUAAAAAAAUUACAAUUUACCC